AUGUGAUGAAGGUAAGCGAUGAGGAGGAAGGUCAAAACGACGAGGAUGUGAUUAAAAGAAGCGGCAAGAAGGAAGCUCAAAAUGAGGAGAAUGUGAUUCUAAAGAAAUGAUGGGAAGGAAGGUGAAAAGAAGGAGGCUGUUUUUAAAUGAAGUGACGCGAAGGAAGAUCAAAAAGAGAAGGAUACGAUUGACAACAGUGAUGAGAAGGGAGGUCAGAAGGAAGGGGAUGUCCUUGAGAGGAGUGUGGAACAGCAGCAUGACUUUGACAGUCUGAAGGGCAAUGCCAUCGAAAUUCCAAAUCCUAAAGACGCUAGAUUAUCGAAAAGAAGAAAAAGACGCCCAGACCGAUUACUAUAUGUUCCUCCUCAUGCAAGAGGAGUAUCUUAUAUCCAUCAGAGGCAACAAUGAUUCAUUUACAAAAGAUUGAGGAAUACUGCAUUUUGAACUAUUAUUUCUGAGAAAAUGAUUUAUAAAAUUUAAAGA